ensembl:misc_RNA 7SK 7SK RNA
GGAUGUGAGAAUGAUCUGGUUGUGACCUCUGUCACCCCACUGAUUGCCAGGCUUGAUUCAGUUGAUCUGGAUGGCUAGGCUGGUGUUUCCUUUUCCCCUCACCACCCCAUGUGCAUUUCUCCAGAACCUUCCACAAACAGACAUGGAAUGAUCUUCAGUUGAGAGUAUAGGAGGGAGUACCUGCAACUCCCUGCUAAAAAUUCCAAACAACCUCUCAAAGAAAUUUAAACAAAUGGGGGCUGGGUGGUAGUGCAGUACCUUAAGUGCACAUGGUACAAAGUGCAAG